rnacentral:rRNA from 1 species
CCUACGGGAGGCUGCAGUGAGGAAUAUUUGUCAAUGGGCGGGAGCCUGAACCAGCCAAGCCGCGUGAGGGAAGAAGGUACAGCGUAUCGUAAACCUCUUUUGUCAGGGAACAAAGGCGGGGACUAGUCCCCGGCUGAGGGUACCUGCAGAAAAAGCAUCGGCUAACUCCGUGCCAGCAGCCGCGGUAAUACGGAGGAUGCGAGCGUUAUCCGGAUUUAUUGGGUUUAAAGGGUGCGCAGGCGGCCUGUUAAGUCAGCGGUAAAAGCCCGGGGCUCAACCCCGGCGAGCCGUUGAAACUGGCGGGCUGGAGUUGGAGAGAAGUACGCGGAAUGCGCGGUGUAGCGGUGAAAUGCUUAGAUAUCGCGCAGAACCCCGAUUGUGAAGGCAGCGUACCGGCUCCACACUGACGCUGAGGCACGAAAGCGUGGGUAUCGAACAGGAUUAGAUACCCGGGUAGUC